AUUGAACGCUGGCGGCAUGCCUUACACAUGCAAGUCGAACGGCAGCGGGCCCUUCGGGGUGCCUGCGAGUGGCGAACGGGUGAGUAAUGCAUCGGAACGUACCCGGGAGAGGGGGAUAACCGGCCGAAAGGCUGGCUAAUACCGCAUGAACUCGGCAGAGCAAAGCUGGGGACCUUCGGGCCUCGCGCUCUCGGAGCGGCCGAUGUCCGAUUAGGCUAGUUGGUGGGGUAAAGGCCCACCAAGGCGACGAUCGGUAGCGGGUCUGAGAGGACGAUCCGCCACACUGGGACUGAGACACGGCCCAGACUCCUACGGGAGGCAGCAGUGGGGAAUCUUGGACAAUGGGCGCAAGCCUGAUCCAGCAAGGCCGCGUGGGUGAAGAAGGCCUUCGGGUUGUAAAGCCCUUUCGGCGGGGAAGAAAUCGGUCAGGCGAAUAGUCUGGCCGGAUGACGGUACCCGCAGAAGAAGCACCGGCUAACUACGUG
rnacentral:rRNA from 1 species